rnacentral:rRNA from 1 species
AUUGAACGCUGGCGGCAUGCUUUACACAUGCAAGUCGAACGGUAACAGGUUAAGCUGACGAGUGGCGAACGGGUGAGUAAUGCAUCGGAACGUGCCCGGUCGUGGGGGAUAACGCAGCGAAAGCUGCGCUAAUACCGCAUACGAUCUAAGGAUGAAAGCGGGGGACCGUAAGGCCUCGCGCGAUCGGAGCGGCCGAUGUCAGAUUAGGUAGUUGGUGGGGUAAAGGCUCACCAAGCCAACGAUCUGUAGCUGGUCUGAGAGGACGACCAGCCACACUGGGACUGAGACACGGCCCAGACUCCUACGGGAGGCAGCAGUGGGAAAUUUUGGACAAUGGGCGAAAGCCUGAUCCAGCAAUGCCGCGUGCAGGAAGAAGGCCUUCGGGUUGUAAACUGCUUUUGUACGGGGCGAAAAGGUCUCCUCUAAUACAGGGGGCUCAUGACGGUACCGUAAGAAUAAGCACCGGCUAACUACGUGCCAGCAGCCGCCGCGG